GGGCGCGCCUCCAACUGUGCUCCGCAGUUCCGCUCACCAGGCCCAGUCUUUUAAAGGGACCGCCCCAGCCCGUCACCUCACCCCAUCUCUCUGGGUGUAACGAGCAGUUCUCUGCCCGGGGACCCACAGUCCCAUCCCUUCUUCUAAGAGAGCAACGGUGAUGCUGAUGUUGCUGGUCCGCGGACCAAACUUUGAGAACAUGAUUGUGAAGAAUAAAUGAGUUAUGUAACAUGUGUUUACUGCACAGGCUGUCUUCCCUCUCUAUGCCUCCGUUUCCAAUUGUGGAAUGGGGUGUAAUAACUCAUGCUCUACCGAAAAUGAGGGCACUAAUGUGAAGGCAUUCAGUGAAACAACAUCUGAAGGGGAAUUUUAGUAACUGGAAUUGCAGGCCUGAAUCUCCCUGUAAACAAUAACGUAUACGGAGUCACGUUAAAAUGGAACCGGAGCUGCCAGCCCAGAGGGACUGCCUUAUGCCUCAAAUCUUUGGAAUGUUAAAACAGGGCAAAAUAACCUCUGGUCCAGGCCUCGGCAACCUUGCUUCCCAAAGAACUGUUUGCAGAGAAAAUAAAAAAGCAGUUAUCAUGACUACGGGAUUGAUGACCACUGAACCGAAAAUUUCAAACAUUUAGCAUCUCUGUGUCAUGUUAUCUGCACCAAUGAAAUGCCUUCCUCGUAUUGAUGUAGCUGUUCCCCCUCCCAAUCUCAGGAAUACCCCUUGCCUUUGUCUCCUAGCAGAAUAUCUGGGCUUCUGCCUGAAUUAAUGAUUCUUGUAGAGUUAUACUUAAUAGUCUCAAAUAAAUGCUCGUUUGCCUGUUA